AAAACAUGCCCCAGCUUCGUAGCUUGUAGAUAGAUCUGCUAGAUUUUCUUCAUCUUUGAUCGAAAGCCAAAUUCUUUUCUUUCUUCUCUGUAUACCUUUAUUAUCUGUGAUAUUUGUUAGGCUUUUGAUGCCAUCUUGUUUUUUGAAGGCACCGCUGCAGGCUGUUGGAUCGAUUGCGAGAAAGGACGCAAGAUAAAAAGUGCAGUCGACUUGAUAGUCCAAUCUGUUUGCUGCUGCCUGCUGUUUGUGGUAGUUGACGAUGGGAGGUCUCUCGCGGCGGUUUCUGAAUCUGGUCAUGGACAACCGCAUCCGUGGGGUUAGAUCGCUGCGCUGCAUCGACCUCACGCGCCAGCAGUUCUUCAACACAACCAUACCUGCACUGUCACCGAACGGAAAGGGAUCUGGAUCAGAAGGACCGCAAGACGCUCCCACCUCUCGGGAGACUGUGGCUGUUGCUGGCAGCCAGAGGAACAAACAGGUGGCGGGGGACACCUUAAAGAUGGAGAAGAUUCGGCUUCCCAGCCCAAGCUUCAGCAUCCGUGGCUUUACUUCAGAUCUGAGCGACCAACUGAUGCACUUCUUCCCGAUUGCGGAUCGCAGAGUGGUUUGUGUGGACCAGUUGGGGCGUGGUGUCCUCCUGGAGGCAGACACAGGAAACGUGGUGAUCAUGCCCCCUCUCCACAAGCCCAAGUUGACGCCCAUCUCCCUCUCUGUUCCCAGCCCUGAUUUGGAUGACCAUGACGGUGGCAUCCGCAGCAAACUUUUUGUCAUGGAGAGGAUUCUCAAACCAGAGCCAAGCAGCAUGGAGCAGACGUAUCAGUUCGAGGCCUUUGUCUACCGCAGGCCGGGCCCAACCUUCUUCUACAAGUGCUGGCACUGCCAACUCCUUCCGUCGCUGCCAUAUGUCCAUAGCACCAAGCAGUGGCACAGCUUCCCACAGAUCAGCUCCUAUGCUGUGGUCAACGGUGGCUCUGAGAUUUGCAUAUCCGUCGAAGGUCUUGGGACCUAUUGCCUUAACACGACGAGCUACACAUGGACUGAAGUCGGCAAGUGGACGCUACCCUUCAAUGGCAAGGUUGAGUAUGUACCUGAGCUGAAGCUCUGGUUUGGCAUUUCUGCCAGUGACCAGACCUUGGCUGCUGCUGACCUCUCUGCAAUGGACUCCCAGCCACAGCUACUGGGUAGGUGGAAGGAGCUUGACCUGCCAGAGGAAUGGAAGGAAUGCAAGGAUUCUCAACUUAUCAAUCUGGGGUCUGGCAAGUUCUGCAUCGUGAGGUUCUUACACACUACGACUGCCAAGGGUGACAUCAGUGAUGAAUUAAUUGACCAGAAUCUUGCUGUCCUGACCGGUGUGGAGGUGGCGCUGCAUGCACACCGUAGCAAUGCCAAUGCAAGUGCCAAUAAGGGCAGUGGAAGAGUGGAACUCAAAUUUUCAAAUCACAAAUCUAGACGUUACAAGUCUAAUAGCAGCAAUGGUAUCUCAGCAGUGUUCUGAACAGUUCCAGAGCUGGGCUUACAAGACCGUUUUUAUGCAUCAUGUUUAGUAUGGUAAUUUUGGCACUCAAGACUUUUAAGAGAGUGUGGCGUCGUUUCUAGUUCAAGUAUGACAUUAAAGUGUUUUCUAGUACCUGUGUUGUCCAUUCCGUACUGUAUUGUGAUGUUGGCUCCUGCCUGCCCAUGUUGAUUCUAAGGCAACCAAACAUCUCGUCCUGGGAGCUCAAUAAGUAAUAUCUCCAACUUAUCUUUAUACUUAACUAUCUCCAACUUGGAUUACUCCCGAGGGAAUGCUGGGAAAUUGAAUACCAGCAAAUUCAAAUGAUAUGAGCUAAAUUAAAUUUCGCUUAAAUUUGUCAUGCGACAAAGCUUGGUCGGGGUGUUCCUAUUGCAGCUUUGUUGCACACCAAGACAUAGUAUUUACAUAUGGAAGUUCUCAACUGCUGAUAUGCAGCAAGGGAUGUGUGUUUUAAUUAACAAUCUGUUUUUGUCUAUUAGUUUAUGGCUUCAUUUGGAUUUUUGUGUAGUCCAUGGCUGGGAUUUACAGAAGUCAGAUGGUUUGUCAUUAUUGAUCUGUUGUGAGUCACCUAUAGCUGUCUAGUGACCAUCUGCAUGAUCUCAUUAAUUUGAGCACCAUUAAUACAUCUUACUACUUUAUCUAUUUCUCAAUGGACAAUAACCCUUUCCGCCAGCCG